UACGAAGGGUGCAAGCGUUACUCGGAAUUACUGGGCGUAAAGCGUGCGUAGGUGGUGAGUUAAGUCUGUCGUGAAAGCCCCGGGCUCAACCUGGGGAUGGCGAUGGAUACUGGCUCGCUAGAGUGCGGUAGAGGAGACUGGAAUUCCUGGUGUAGCGGUGAAAUGCGCAGAUAUCAGGAGGAACACCGGUGGCGAAGGCGGGUCUCUGGGCCGAUACUGACGCUGAGGAGCGAAAGCGUGGGGAGCGAACAGG
rnacentral:rRNA from 1 species